AGAAAAAAAAAAGAAAAGGAAAAAAAAAAAACAUCACUGCACAACAUUAGUUGCUCUUUCAUUGCUAGCACCAGAUUCAUCCGAUUUUUUUUUGUGC
rnacentral:ribozyme from 12 species